rnacentral:lncRNA from 1 species
ACCAAUCAACUUGCUUUCCUAGUGGAAACAGGAUCAUUCUGCCACCAACAGCAGCUGGACCAAGCACAUGACCUUGAUGUGAACUGCUCCCCAGAAUUGACUGGCACAGGACAGGUGAGAGAUAAAGACAAGACAGAAAUGCCCAGAGAAGUUGGAGAAGACACCAUUGAGACAAUGGAAUGUCCACUAACGCUUCGAGACUUCAGAACUCUGAUCAAUGUUGGAACCACGUGAGAGUUGGAGGCCUGAGGCAAAUGAUGC